rnacentral:rRNA from 1 species
UACGAACCGUCCAAACGUUAUUCGGAAUUAUUGGGCUUAAAGGGUCCGUAGGCGGCGCGGCAAGUUGGGUGUGAAAUCCCUCGCCUCAACCGAGGAACUGCGCUCAAAACUGCCGUGCUCGAGGGAGACAGAGGUGAGCGGAACUUAGGGUGGAGCGGUGAAAUGCGUUGAUAUCCUAAGGAACACCGGUGGCGAAAGCGGCUCACUGGGUCUCUUCUGACGCUGAGGCACGAAAGCUAGGGUAGCGAACGGG